GUGAAUUUUUUCUUCUUUCUCUUAUCAUUCCUCAUCGCCUUGCAACCUUCAAGGAUAGUUGGUUUCACUCGUUUGUCAAAGAAGCGACUAAAUUUUACCUCUUGUUCUUUCUCUUCCUCUCCCCCUUUCAUUCUUGGAUCUCGGGGCGGGGUCCUCUUGUAGUUUAGGAGAGUUGUGACAGCCCGAUGCCGACGCCCUAGAAGAAUCCCCUUUUCGUCGUGUGACUUAUUUUAUUUGUCGCAUCAUCAUCGCAUCAUGCGCA
rnacentral:lncRNA from 1 species